rnacentral:tRNA from 1 species
GCGAGAGUGGCGGAACUGGCAGACGCACUGGACUUAGGAUCCAGCCCCUUUUAGGGGUGGGGGUUCAAAUCCCCCCUCUCGCA